rnacentral:rRNA from 1 species
AGUUGCGCCCGAAGCCAUUCGGCCGAGGGCACGUCUGCCUGGGCGUCACGCAUCGCGUGGUCCCCGACCACGCCUCCCUCAUGGGGAUGCGUUUCGUCAGGGGCGGAGACUGGUCUCCCGUGCCCAUGACGCGGUUGGCCUAAAUAGGAGUCCCCUUCGACGGACGCACGGCUAGUGGUGGUUGUCAAGGCCUUCGUAUCGAGCCGUGCGGACGCAAGGGAAACGCUCUCCAAAGACCCCAACGUGUCGUCUUGCGACGAUGCUUCGACUGCGACCCCAGGUCAGGCGGGACUACCCGCUGAGUUUAA